UUUGGUGUGAUGAGGAGGUUUUUUUGGUUGUGGACUAGAGUUUCAGAUCUGGUCUGUGCGCCAGAAGCUGAAGAGUAAUCCCUUGGCUGUCUGAGCACCAAU